rnacentral:rRNA from 1 species
AGCAUAAUUUUCUGUGAUGCAUUUACUUGAUUGGUGCUUGGGGAUGUUUGAGGCAGAUUUGUGUCCGCCGUUUUGAGGCCAGCUUGCUGGUACCCAAACGGUGUUAGCAUUUUUUGUCUUYGACAUUUGAGUAUGGCAUGGCUCACGGGCAUUUAUUGGAUCGAUCUGAGUGUAAGUUACGGUCGCAUGCGACACGUGCUUUUCAAUUAGUUCGGUCCAGUUAAUGCUCUCGUACUCGUUCCCCAUGUAAAAGCCGGUCAUCUAUCCGACCCGUCUUGAAACACGGACCAAGGAGUUUAUCGUGUGCGCAAGUUUUUGGGUGUUAAAAACUUAAAAGCGAAAUGAAAGUAAAUGGCUCUUUAGAGUCUGAUGUGCGAUCUAGUAAAAAAGUGCAGCAUGGCCCCAUUCUAACUGUUUACAGUAGGGUGGAGGAAGAGCGUACGCGGUGAGACCCGAAAGAUGGUGAACUAUUCCUGAGCAGGACGAAGCCAGAGGAAACUCUGGUGGAAGUCCGAAGCGGUU